rnacentral:rRNA from 1 species
GGACUACAAGGGUAUCUAAUCCUGUUCGCUCCCCACGCUUUCGCUCCUCAGCGUCAGUAUCGGCCCAGAGACCCGCCUUCGCCACCGGUGUUCCUCCUGAUAUCUGCGCAUUUCACCGCUACACCAGGAAUUCCAGUCUCCCCUACCGAACUCAAGUCUGCCCGUAUCCACCGCACGUCCACAGUUAAGCUGUGAAUUUUCACGGCAGACGCAACAAACCGCCUACGAGCUCUUUACGCCCAAUAAUUCCGGACAACGCUCGCACCCUACGUAUUACCGCGGCUGCUGGCAC